GUUGCGGGCUGGGGCAAGACGGAGACGGACGAGCCCAGCAAAAGGCUCCAGUAUGCGACCAUGCCGUUCGUUCCGUACGAAACUUGCGUCGCCAGGAUUCCGGACAACAUUAUCCGAUACGUUUCACCCGACAAGUUUUGUGCUGGAAACAUUAACGGUUCGACGGUUUGGCCGGGCGACAGCGGCGGCGGGCUCUCCUUCCAAAGGGGCGGCCGGUGGUUCCUGCGCGGGGUGGUGAGCACGGGGGUCCCCAGUCGACUCACGUACAGCGCCUUUACGGACGUCCAACACCGCGACCACUUGGAGUUGCUCAAGUCAUUCAUGAAUGCUCGACAAUGAAAGCACCCACGGAAAAAAAAUCUGCGACGACGACUUGUCUUAUUUAUCAAGUGUUAACUCCGGUCACUCCGGUUAACUUGGCUGUUCCUGCUGUGUGUGCGUUGUGCGCGUGUGUAUGUAUGUAUGAAUGGUAGUGUAGGUCUAUGAGCUUGUGUGUGAGCGCGCGUGCGUGAGCGAGUGUGUGUGUGUGUGUGUGUGUAUAGGUGCGCGUGUGUGUUAAUUUGGAUGUGUGACGUCUAUGUAGCGUACAUUCGAGAUGUUCAUGUGCCAAACAAACAUAUUUCUAGGUUGGGUGUGUUCCCAUAGUGACUGAUACCCAUUGACGUUUUUGUACAUAUGUAAUAAGAAUCAUUUUUAUACGUU